CAGCAGCCGCGGGAAUACGUAGGUGGCAAGCGUUGUCCGGAAUUAUUGGGCGUAAAGGGCUCGCAGGCGGUUUCUUAAGUCUGAUGUGAAAGCCCCCGGCUCAACCGGGGAGGGUCAUUGGAAACUGGGAAACUUGAGUGCAGAAGAGGAGAGUGGAAUUCCACGUGUAGAGGUGAAAUGCGUAGAGAUGUGGAGGAACACCGGUGGCGAAGGCGACUCUCUGGUCUGUAACUGACGCUGAGGAGCGAAAGCGUGGGGAGCGAACAGGAUUAGAUACCCCCGUAGUCCCUGUCUCUUAUAC
rnacentral:rRNA from 1 species